CCUACGGGAGGCAGCAGUGAGGAAUAUUGGUCAAUGGGCGCGAGCCUGAACCAGCCAAGUCGCGUGAGGGAUGACGGCCCUACGGGUUGUAAACCUCUUUUGCCGGGGAGCAACGGGCGCCACGUGUGGCGCCACUGAGAGUACCCGGAGAAAAAGCAUCGGCUAACUCCGUGCCAGCAGCCGCGGUAAUACGGAGGAUCCGAGCGUUAUCCGGAUUUAUUUGGUUUAAAGGGAGCGUAGAUGGGUUGUUAAGUCAGUUGUGAAAGUUUGCGGCUCAACCGUAAAAUUGCAAUUGAUACUGGCAGUCGUGAGUACAGUUGAGGUAGGCGGAAUUCGUGGUGUAGCGGUGAAAUGCUGAGAUAUCACGAAGAACUCCGAUUGCGAAGGCAGCUUACUAAACUGCCACUGACAUUGAUGCUCGAAAGUGUGGGUAUCAAACAGGAUUAGAUACCCGAGUAGUC
rnacentral:rRNA from 1 species